UUGAAUGGGAUACGCAUUACAACCAAAUUAUUCUUAUCAAGGACCCUAACUAUGGAAUAUGCAUGAUAGAGACACAUAUCAAAGAUCAUUAAGUUCAAUAGAAAUCAUAAGCAUUGACGAGACAUUCAUAACUAUGGGAUACGCAUGUUACUCUUGCCUAGGAUUCACUUAACACAAUCGUGACUAGCGACUUUUACUACUUAUGAAUAUAAGUUAAUAACGAUUAGGUGAAAUUCCCUUA
rnacentral:lncRNA from 1 species